CGGAGGAUCCAAGCGUUAUCCGGAAUCAUUGGGUUUAAAAGGGUCCGUAGGCGGCUUUAUAAGUCAGUGGUGAAAGCCCAUCGCUUAACGAUGGAACGGCCAUUGAUACUGUAGAGCUUGAAUUACUUGGAAGUAGCUAGAAUAUGUAGUGUAGCGGUGAAAUGCUUAGAUAUUACAUGGAAUACCAAUUGCGAAGGCAGGUUACUACAAGUGGAUUGACGCUGAUGGACGAAAGCGUGGGAGCGAACAGGAUU
rnacentral:rRNA from 1 species